UACGUAGGGGGCUAGCGUUAUCCGGAAUUACUGGGCGUAAAGGGUGCGUAGGCGGUCUUUCAAGCCAGAAGUGAAAGGCUACGGCUCAACCGUAGUAAGCCUUUGAAACUGGGAAACUUGAGUGCAGGAGAGGAGAGUGGAAUUCCUAGUGUAGCGGUGAAAUGCGUAGAUAUUAGGAGGAACACCAGUUGCGAAGGCGGAUCUCUGGACUGUAACUGACACUGAGGCACGAAAGCGUGGGGAGCAAACAGGAUUAGAUACCCCCGUAGUCCCUGAG
rnacentral:rRNA from 1 species